CUGGCGUUUAUUGGAAUCAUGUUUACUGUAGUAGGUGCUAUUUAAUUUAAUUGCCAAUAUAGAUGCUGUAAUGUGUGGUGUUUACUAUGUAAUGUGGUGUUUAUGCUUGUGGUGUUUACUAUGAGUAUGAUUAUUGUGGUGGGUGGAGUUUACUAUGAUUAUGUUUAUUGUGGUGGGUGGUGUUUACUAUGAUUAUGUUUAUUGUGGUGGGUGGUGUUUACUAUGAUUAUGUUUAUUGUGGUGGGUGGUGUUUACUAUGAGUAUGAUUAUUGUGGUGGGUGGUGUUUACUAUGAUUCUGUCUAUUGUGGUGGGUGGUGUUUACUAUGAUUCUGUCUAUUGUGGUGCGUGGUGUUUACUAUGAUUAUGUUUAUUGUGGUCGGUGGUGUUUACUAUGAGUAUGAUUAUUGUGGUGGGUGGUGUUUACUAUGAUUAUUAUUAUUGUGGUGAGUGGUGUUUACUAUGAGUAUGAUUAUUGUGGUGGUGGUUGUUUACUAUGAUUAUGUUUAUUGUGGUGGGUGGUGUUUACUAUGAGUAUGUUUAUUGUGGUGCGUGGUGUUUACUAUGAUUAUGUUUAUUGUGGUGGGUGGUGUUUACUAUGAUUAUGUUUAUUGUGGUGCGUGGUGUUUACUAUGAUUAUGUUUAUUGUGGUGGGUGGUGUUUACUAUGAUUAUGUUUAUUGUGGUGGUGGUGUUUACUAUGAUUAUGUUUAUUGUGGUGGUGGUGUUUACUAUGAUUAUGUUUAUUGUGGUGGUGGUGUUUACUAUGAGUAUGUUUAUUGUGGUGGUGGUGUUUACUAUGAGUAUGUUUAUUGUGGUGGGUGGUGUUUACUAUGAUUAUGUUUAUUGUGGUGGGUGGAGUUUACUAUGAUUAUGUUUAUUGUGGUGGGUGGUACUGGAACAGUGUUUAUUAUAAUAAGUGGUGGUUAUUGUUGCACUGUUGCACUGUAACAUUCACUGUGAUGUGUUUACUGUGAUGUUGUUUAUUGUGAUGGUGAAAUGGUGUUUACUGUCAAAGGUAUGUUUACUAUAAUGACAUUUACUGUGGUGGUGUUUACUAUGAUGGGCUGUUUGUACUCUAAUGGUGUUUAUUGUGAUGUGUUUAUUAUGUUGGAUGUUCACUGUGACAUUGUGUUUACUGGG
ensembl:lncRNA